UACGGGGGGGGUAAGCGUUGUUCGGAAUUACUGGGCGUAAAGAGCUCGUAGGCGGUUUGGCAAGUCGGGUGUGAAAACUCCGGGCUCAACUCGGAGACGCCACUCGAUACUGCCAUGACUCGAGUCCGGUAGGGGAGUGCGGAAUUCCUGGUGUAGCGGUGAAAUGCGCAGAUAUCAGGAGGAACACCGGUGGCGAAGGCGGCUUGCUGGGCCAGUUCUGACGCUGAGGAGCGAAAGCGUGGGGAGCGAACAGG
rnacentral:rRNA from 1 species